UACGUAGGUGGCAAGCGUUGUUCGGAAUUACUGGGCGUAAAGCGCGCGUAGGCGGCUCUUCAAGUCAGGCGUGAAAGCCCCGGGCUUAACUCGGGAACUGCGCUUGAUACUGUCGAGCUAGAGUGUGGAAGGGGCGAUUGGAAUUCCGUGUGUAGCGGUGAAAUGCGUAGAUAUACGGAGGAACACCAGGGGCGAAGGCGGCUCACUGGACCGGAACUGACGCUGAGGCGCGAAAGCGUGGGGAGCAAACAGG
rnacentral:rRNA from 1 species